rnacentral:rRNA from 1 species
GAUGAACGCUGGCGGCGUGCCUAAUACAUGCAAGUAGAACGCUGAAGGAAGGAGCUUGCCCUUUCUGGAUGAGUUGCGAACGGGUGAGUAACGCGUAGGUAACCUGCCUGGUAGCGGGGGAUAACUAUUGGAAACGAUAGCUAAUACCGCAUAACAGUAGAUGUUGCAUGAUAUCUGCUUGAAAGGGGCAAUUGCUCCACUACCAGAUGGACCUGCGUUGUAUUAGCUAGUUGGUGAGGUAACGGCUCACCAAGGCGACGAUACAUAGCCGACCUGAGAGGGUGAUCGGCCACACUGGGACUGAGACACGGCCCAGACUCCUACGGGAGGCAGCAGUAGGGAAUCUUCGGCAAUGGACGGAAGUCUGACCGAGCAACGCCGCGUGAGUGAAGAAGGUUUUCGGAUCGUAAAGCUCUGUUGUAAGAGAAGAACGAGUGUGAGAGUGGAAAGUUCACACUG